GUCUAUGGCCAUGCUACCCUGAACAAGCCCAAUCCCAUCUGAUCUCAGAAGCUAAGCCGGGUCGGGCCUGGUUAGUACUUGGAUGGGAGACCGCCUAGGAAGACCAAGUGCUGUAGGCG
rnacentral:rRNA from 1 species